rnacentral:tRNA from 6 species
GCCUCCUUAGCUCAGUGGCAGAGCACUGGUCUCGUAAACCAGGGGUCGUGAGUUCAAACCUCACAGGAGGCA